rnacentral:pre_miRNA from 1 species
UUAACUCAGAUUUGUAUGGAAUGGGAUCGUUUGCGUACGUUUGCCGCUAGGGGCGCUGUUCCAACUGCAUACAAAUUUGGGGUA